GAACUUUCUUCUGUCUUUAAAUAGUGGUGUUGCCCAUACAACCAGAUUCUGCUCUUCAGUUGGUCUCGAAGUGUCGAUAACUCUUCUUCCUGUGAUGAUCUCUAGAAACACAACUCCAAAGCUGUAAACAUCAGAUUUUGAUGUCAAUUGGCCUGUCAAUGCAUACUCAGGUGCACAAUAGCCAUAAGUUCCCAUCACUCUAGUGGAAACAUAAGUCUUGUCUCCAGUUGGACCAAGCUUUGCCAGACCGAAAUCUGAGAGCUUUGGAUUGAAAGUCUCAUCUAAUAAUAUGUUUGAUGCUUUAAAGUCACGGUAUAUUACUGGAGGAUUUGCUGUUUCAUGCAAGUAUUCAAGUCCUU
rnacentral:misc_RNA from 1 species